rnacentral:rRNA from 1 species
UACGAGGGAUGCAAGCGUAUUCCGGAAUUAUUGGGCGUAAAGCGUUUGUAGGCGGGCGAGUGUGUUUAAUGUUAAAUCUUAAAGCUCAACUUUGAAAUUGCGUUAAAAACUGCUUGUCUUGAGUAUGGUAGGGGUAAAGGGAAUUCCCAGUGUAGCGGUGAAAUGCGUAGAUAUUGGGAAGAACACUAAACAGCGAAGGCACUUUACUAGGCUAAUACUGACGCUGAGAAACGAAAGGUAAGGUAGCGAAACGGAUUAGAUACCCGUGUAGUCUUACCCGUAAACUAUGGACACUAAACGGUAAAUUUUUAAUUUACUGUUAAAGCUAACGCGUUAAGUGUCCCGCCUGGGGAGUAUGCUUGCAAAAGUGAAACUCAAAGGAAUUGAUGGGGGCCCGCACAAGCGGUGGAGCAUGUGGUUUAAUUCGACGGUACACGAAGAACCUUACCAGGAUUUGACAUGCUAGAUAGUUGCUUGAAAGAGUAACGUGCCGUAAGGAAUCUAGACACAGGUGGUGCAUGGCUGUCGUCAGUUCGUGUUGUGAAAUGUUGGGUUAAGUCCCGCAACGAACGCAACCCUUGUCUUUAGUUAUUUUCUAAAGAGACUGCCUGUAAUAAACAGGAGGAAGGUAAGGAUGAGGUCAAGUCAUCAUGCCCCUUAUGUCCUGGGCUACACACGUGCUACAAUGGGAAAGACAAUGAGCUGCAAAUCUGUAAAUUUAAGCAAAUCUCUUAAACUUUCUCGUAGUUCGGAUUGUGGGCUGCAACUCGCCCACAUGAAGUUGGAAUCGCUAGUAAUCGC